UCUUCAGACUCCUUGAACGGUCUCAUUUCGUCAGUCUUCAGGAUCGGUUUGGUAAAGUUGCAUGCUCUGUCGACGGUGCUGCUAAAUGCAGUAAUGAAGGAAAUGACAGGCCCCACAUUUGGCUAUCUUGAGUUGAGCCAGAACUCUGUGCGCCAGAAGCUCUUCCAUGUGGGAGAAGCUUAAUAUGAAGAUGUUUAAUUCAAGAUCAAACUCGGCUUCAAGGAGCAACUGAGUUGCCCUGAAUAACCAAGAGUUCCUGAGCGUGUUGUCGUUCUCCGAACCAUGUCUACCAAAUGGCCACAGGGUGGCUCAAGCCCUGAUGCAGAGUGACCCUUUGGCCUGUUAUAUCAUGUGCCAAGGGCUCUGAGAGGGUAAUGAAUUAAGUACACCAGGACUGGUCUUUUGAUCAUCCAGUACACCCGGUCUUGGCUGAAUAAUACCUCUCCAGUGAAGGUUGUGUGUCCCUGGCUAACAAAUUACCAGAGUAAGGUGAUCUGUUUCAGCCCUGCAUGCACCUAUCAAGUUAGGUGUUUGAAGAAAUGGAACAAGAUUCAAUUGAAAAUGCACUUGAAGAUAUAGCUCAAUCUGACCUGUUGAACUUCUGAUAAUCUCAAUAAAAUGUUAAUGUAAUAUGAUUACUUUCUACUUUCCUGGAUAAGGACAUGGAAAGUGUUGGGUUCAUGACCUGAAAUUGAAGUUCCCCUGAAUUUUCCCAUAUGCACAAAGCUUAGUUCUCCAAUUGUGUGCACAUUUGUUUACAUCCCGGUUAGUACAUGUUUCUCCUUUGUCAAGAAAAUCUAGAGAAGUGGGGCAUAUCAAGAAACUGAUUAUAACAGGUCCAUCUUGUGCUGAGAGAGCUCUUUGGUGGGGGAAACAAAUUCUGAUUGGUUCCUUGGUGUGGGCCCUGUUCAGUUGAUGCCUAUAGUUUGGGACUUUAUUUCAUCAGGUAAAAUAACUCCAAUUACAUUUAAAUUUCCAGUGGGGAUGUUUGCACCACAUUAAACUUGCUUUGCGGCAUAUAAUUGGCACAGCCCUCGCACCCACCAAGAAGGUGGACUUCAGGACUAGGUUUGAAGGUGUUGUCAGUGUUUUGCAUAAAUUGUGGUUGGCGGUGUAGUACAAUAUGGUUUGGCGCCUAUCAGCCCUACUGGUACUCCCAACACUUGAGUGGCUUUCAGAAUGUCAUGUGGUUCACACGAUUAAAGGAUUCCCUUCAGUGAGCAGAGCCUAACU